rnacentral:rRNA from 1 species
GACGAACGCUGGCGGCGUGCUUAACACAUGCAAGUCGAACGGAAAGGCCCUGCUUUUGUGGGGUUCUCGAGUGGCGAACGGGUGAGUAACACGUGAGUAACCUGCCCUUGACUUUGGGAUAACUUCAGGAAACUGGGGCUAAUACCGGAUAGGAGCUCCUGCUGCAUGGUGGGGGUUGGAAAGUUUCGGCGGUUGGGGCUGGUCUCGCGGCUUAUCAGCUUGUUGGUGGGGUAGUGGCUUACCAAGGCUUUGACGGGUAGCCGGCCUGAGAGGGUGAACGGCCACCAUGGUCCUGCGAUAGGGCGCAGACUCGUACGGGAGGCAGCAGUGGGGAAUAUUGCACAGUGGGCGGAAGUGUGUGGAAGCAACGCUGCGUGCGGGAUGACGGCCUUCGGGUUGUAAACCGCUUUCGCCUGAGACGAAGCGUGAGUGACGGUAAUGGGUAAAGAAGCACCGGCUAACUACGUG